rnacentral:SRP_RNA from 1 species
GCCGGGCAUGGUGGUGCAUGCCUGUAAUCCCAGCUACUUGGGAGGCUGAGGUAGGAGAGUCGCUUGAACCUGGGAGGGGGAGAUUGCAGUGAGCCGAGAUCGAGACAUUGCACUCCAGCCUGGGUUACAGAGUGAGACUCUAUCUCAA